rnacentral:rRNA from 1 species
UACGGAGGGUGCGAGCGUUGUCCGGAUUUAUUGGGCGUAAAGAGCUCGUAGGCGGCUUGUCGCGUCGAAUGUGAAAACCCACGGCUCAACUGUGGGCUUGCAUUCGAUACGGGCAGGCUAGAGUUCGGUAGGGGAGACUGGAAUUCCUGGUGUAGCGGUGAAAUGCGCAGAUAUCAGGAGGAACACCGGUGGCGAGGGCGGGUCUCUGGGCAGUAACUGACGCUGAGGAGCGAAAGCGUGGGGAGCGAACAGG